AACGUAGGAGGCGAGCGUUAUCCGGAUUUACUGGGUGUAAAGCGCGUGCAGGCGGCCGCGCAAGUCGUGCGUGAAAGCGCCCGGCUCAACCGGGCGAGGUCGUGCGAAACUGCGGGGCUUGAGGCAGGUAGAGGCGUGUGGAAUUCCGGGUGUAGUGGUGAAAUGCGUAGAGAUCCGGAGGAACACCAGUGGCGAAGGCGGCACGCUGGGCCUGGCCUGACGCUCAGACGCGAAAGCAUGGGGAGCGAACGGGAUUAGAAACCCCGGUAGUCCAUGCCGUAAACGCUGUGAACUAGGUGUAGCGGGUGUAACGACCGGCUGUGCCGAAGCAAACGUGAUAAGUUCACCACCUGGGGACUACGGCCGCAAGGUUAAAACUCAAAGGAAUUGACGGGGGCCCGCACAAGCAGCGGAGCGUGUGGUUUAAUUCGAGGCUACACGAAGAACCUUACCUGGGCUUGACAUGGCGGUGGUAGGGAAGGGAAACCGGACCGACCUUCGGGAGCCGUCACAGGUGCUGCAUGGCU
rnacentral:rRNA from 1 species